ACAACGGGAGGAAGGUGGGGAUGACGUCAAGUCCGCAUGCUCCUUACGUCUAGGGCUACACACGUCCUACAAUGGGGUCGACAGUGGGAUGCAAAGCCGCGAGGUGGAGCCAAUCCCCAAACGGCCUCUCAGUUCGGAUAGUAGUCUGCAACUCGACUACUUGAAGUCGGAAUCGCUAGUAAUGGCGGAUCAGCAUGCCGCCGUGAAUACGUUCCCGGGUCUU
rnacentral:rRNA from 1 species